GGAAUAUUGGACAAUGGGCGCAAGCCUGAUCCAGCCAUGCCGCGUGCAGGAUGACGGUCCUAUGGAUUGUAAACUGCUUUUGUACAGGAAGAAACACUCCGACGUGUCGGAGCUUGACGGUACUGUAAGAAUAAGGAUCGGCUAACUCCGUGCCAGCAGCCGCGGUAAUACGGAGGAUCCAAGCGUUAUCCGGAAUCAUUGGGUUUAAAGGGUCCGUAGGCGGUUUAAUAAGUCAGUGGUGAAAGCCCAUCGCUCAACGGUGGAACGGCCAUUGAUACUGUUAGACUUGAAUUAUUAGGAAGUAACUAGAAUAUGUAGUGUAGCGGUGAAAUGCUUAGAGAUUACAUGGAAUACCAAUUGCGAAGGCAGGUUACUACUAAUUGAUUGACGCUGAUGGACGAAAGCGUGGGUAGCGAACAGGAUUAGAUACCCUAG
rnacentral:rRNA from 1 species